rnacentral:rRNA from 1 species
CCUACGGGAGGCAGCAGUAGGGAAUUUUCGGCAAUGGGGGGAACCCUGACCGAGCAACGCCGCGUGAAGGAAGAAGGCAUUCGUUCUGUAAACUUCUGUUAUAAAGGAAGAAAGACGGAUGGAGGAAAUGACGUCCGAGUGACGGUACUUUUUGGGAACGCCACGUCUAACUACGUGCCAGCAGCGGCGGUAAGACGUAGGUGGCAAGCGUUAUCGGGAAUUAUUGGACGAAAAGAGGGAGCAGGCGGCAGCAAAGGUCUGUGGUGAAAGACUGAAGCUUAACUUCAGUAAGCGAUAGAAACCGGGCAGCUAGAGUGCAGGAGAGGAUCGUGGAAUUCCAGGUGUAGCGGUGAAAUGCGUAGAUAUAUGGAGGAACACCAGUGGCGAAGGCGACGAUCUGGACUGCAACUGACGCUCAGUCCCGAAAGCGUGGGGAGCAAAUAGGAUUAGAUACCCGUGUAGUC